GCCCAGACUCCUACGGGAGGCAGCAGUGAGGAAUAUUGGUCAAUGGUCGGGAGACUGAACCAGCCAAGCCGCGUGAGGGAUGAAGGUACAGAGUAUCGUAAACCUCUUUUGUCAGGGAACAAAGGCGGGGACGUGUCCCCGGAUGAGUGUACCUGAAGAAAAAGCAUCGGCUAACUCCGUGCCAGCAGCCGCGGUAAUACGGAGGAUGCGAGCGUUAUCCGGAUUUAUUGGGUUUAAAGGGUGCGUAGGCGGAAUGCCAAGUCAGCGGUAAAAUCGCGGGGCCCAACCUCGCUCCGCCGUUGAAACUGGCGUUCUCGAGUUGGAGAGAAGUAUGCGGAAUGCGCGGUGUAGCGGUGAAAUGCAUAGAUAUCGCGCAGAACUCCGAUUGCGAAGGCAGCAUGCCGGCUCCACACUGACGCUGAGGCACGAAAGCGUGGGUAUCGAACAGGAUUAGAUACCCGGGUA
rnacentral:rRNA from 1 species